ensembl:lncRNA
GUCAUGUUGUGACCAGUCUCAUUGAAAGAGCUCUACAUAAGUUGAUCAACUUGUCACUGGGUUGCCCAGGACUUUCCUGGUUUUAGACUGAAGGGAGGUGGGAGCUGUCUCAUCCUGAGAACUCCUCAGUCCUGGACAAACCGGGAUGAUAGGUCACCCUACAUCCAUAUGGUGAGGAACUCAGCCCACUGGACAACAGUGAGCAAGAAACUAAGGCCUCUUACCAACAGCUGCACGAGGGAGCCACCUUGGGAGCAACUCCUCCAGCCCCAGUCAAGCCUUGGGAUGACGGCAGCCCCAGCUGACAGCUUGACAGAAACCUCAUGAAGACCCUGAUCCAGAACCACCCAGUUCUUGGCGUAGUCGCAGCAGGGUUUCAGAGGAGCCCACCAGAGACCACCUGGAAUCUACACUGAGCCAGCAUUCGGUACCAAUAAGGGCCCAUUGAGCCCCCUGGAUCACUGCAUUCUUCAGGUGACCCUGGUGAGUUCUCCUGAAACCCGGACCUCCUUAUUUUAAGCUGACGGUCCAAGAGUUUAUAUGAGCUGGAUAAGGUCUUAAGACUAGAGGUUAAGGGGUACCGGUACAUAACCUAGGUAAGAGGAACCUAGAAGGAAUUUGCUAGGCCAGAGGAGCCUAGAGGGAAGUUCCUAGGCCAGAGGAGCCUAGAGGGAAGUUCCUAGAGGAACUUGGGAGUGAAUGGGGAAGGCUGACAUUUUUAAUUUGGCUUUAAAUUGGAAAGAAUUGUGUUUAUAAAGUCUGAACAAACUGCUUGAUAGAGAAAUGAGAGACUGAAUGUGUUCAGCUCCGAAGAAAAGGGACAUUUGCUCCUCCUGGCCUUUACCAAAAGGCAUCCUUAGGUGACUAAGGACCUCAGCGGGAGUGUCAGAGGAUCAAUCCUCGAGACAUGCAGCGGUCUCAUAGGGAACUCCACUCUCAUUCAUGGUAAUUAAUUACAGGCUCGUCUGGGGACGCGCACAUAAGGGCUGGUCACCCUUCGCUCCCAGCUCCCACGGCAGUAUUAGGCGGCCAGAGGGAAAAACCGAGGCACAUAAGAGAGUGUUUAUGACCUUUCUAUAGGGAGUAACACUCACAAGCAGCACACUUUCUGACCCACGACACUGUCCUUAGAAGUUGUUCGGACUUUAUAACAAAACAAAAUUAAAAGAGAAGCGAGAAUUCAAGCUUCUAAAACAGCCCGAUCAGUUCCUAAAUGGGCAGCCUUUCCUCCAGACUCCAGAUGGCGUCAUGCUGUGAUUGCAAUUGCUUAACAAAGGGGGAUCCCAAGCCAGAUUGCUAAGGCUGAAAGAAAGAAAGAAAGAGGAAAAAGUUGGGAAAACAAGUUUUUUCACUGUGUUCUGCUAUGAGAACACCUAAGCUUAAGAAAUCACCACGGAAGAAGAAAAAUAUAUAUGUAUAUAGGUUACAGCAAGAGGGAAAAGUAAUACUUUUGGCAACUCUCUCCCAGUGGCUCAUAUAGCCUCUACUAUUUGUGCUAUAUGCCCAAAGUAUAAUCCGGAGAAGCCACUUCAUGAGUCACAAAGCCACUUUCCCUUCCUAAGGGACCCUUUGAGGUAUGACCAUUGGACUUUGUCCAAAUGCCACCAUCUCAAGGAUAAAUACAUCUUGUAAUGAUCUGUAUAUUCUCACAUUGUUUUGAGGCUUUUCCUUGCAGAAGAGUGAUGGCUUUAGAUAAAUUAUUAUUGAAAAGAAUAAAUUCCUGUUUGAGGAAUUCCUACCGAGUUACGUUGUGACUGGGAAACUCAUUUCACCGGAUAAAUAAUUGAAUCUAUUUGUAAUGUUUGGCAAAUAUUGCUGCAUUUCCACUGCACUUACCAUCCUCAAUCCUCAGGAUUCGUAGAAAGAACUAAUGGCACAACCAAAACUUAAUUGGCAAAGAUUUCAGAAGCAUUUACUCUCUCAUGGCCCAAAGCUCUUGUGCUAGCGCUCCUUAAUGUUAGAUCUACACAUUUUGUAAACAUCAGCUGUCUCCUUUUGAAAUAAUAAUAAAACAGCCUAUGCAAUUAGAUGAAGAAAUAUAUGAACCAAGCUUUGCUUAAGGGGUAUAUUAAAUUGUUGUCAUGGUCUUAUUGAGGUGCUUAAAGAAAUGAAAGAUUGGUAGCUGAUUCUUUCUCAGAGAGCUCCCAGAACUUAAGGAUCUUGGACUAUAACCUGGAGAGUUUAUUUAUUGAAAGAGACAUCAAAUAAGACUGUUUGCAGCCCUGUUGGAAGGGACCAUACCAGGAGGAGAAGAAGACGGCAUCUGUUGUAGACAGCUGUCCCAAGACUCCGGACCAGGCCUGUAUUCCUGACCUUAUAUCUCCUCAUUUAAACUUUUGUUAUGCUUAAACUGUAUACCUAUUUUAUAAUUUGUUUGGAAUACUAUCAUACUUAAAGAAAGGGAUUCAUUUGGAACAGACUGAUCUUGAAGGCCAGGAAUUUAUUGAGUGACUCCUAAUGGAACUCAAUGGUUAUGUGGAACAAAUCUUUGGCCUUGGCUACUGCCUGGAUGGCUAAAACACUACACCCUGAGUUUCCUUUAAAAGCAGAGAGGGAGUCAGGCUGAGUUAAAACCUGUUGCCAAUCUCCCUCUCUUUAAGGCCAGAUGGGCUCGUUCAGUGCUCCACUGGUAAGGCUAUAUUAGCAACUAUAUGUGCUUCUUCUUUGGGGCUAAAAGAUGUCGUUAUUACAUAUGGAAUCUCUGACUACAUUUACUCAAGAAGCCCUUAAUGAUAGUCAAGCAGGAAUACCCUUAUUUAAAUAGUGAAAUGUCUUUAAUGAGAAGGGCUGUCCUUCAAAACAGCAUGGCUUUAGAUAUUCUUACUGCAUCCCAAGGUGGUACAUAUACAAUCAUUCAGACUGAAUGCUGUGUUUUUAUAUGUGAUGAAUCUUCCAAUGUGUCAUCUCUGCUAAAGCACAUGAAGAAGCAAGUGGCUGCCUUAUGUGAAUCCUGCACCCCCUUUGAUUUGUUUGCUUGGCUCCCUUUUCAGUAUCAGUUCCCUUUUUCGAUCCGGAUUGCAAUUCCUAUUUCUAUUACUUAUUGGAAUCCUUGUACUGGUCAUAAUAUUCAAACUAAUUAUUGUUUUCUUUACUCGGUAUUGUAAGAGUAGCAUACAAACUAAAGUAAUGAUUGCUUGAUGGCUUAAAAUGGUCGAUCUAUCUUAUAAUCCUGGACAAAUUUCCUUUUCUGAUAAAGACUUUACCUAAGAACUCAUUUUAAACUAAUAUCUUCAAAAAUAUUGAAUUAUUAUUACUGUACUUGUUCUAUAAUCAUAUACAAUGUAAAUGCAAAAUGUCAUAGAGAAGCACAUAUACGUUUGUGAAACAAUCUAAAAUUAAUUAUAAAUUACAUGACAUAUGAAAUGCUUCCUCUGUUAAUACAUAUAUAUCCAUGCUUGUCCACUAUUUCCCACCAACGUGGAUGACUAAGCAAAUAAUGAGAUAAAAGCCUAGCACCGAGGGACAUGGUGGACCCAGGGCAGGCAGCAACCACCCUGGCACCGAGGGACAAUAUUUUGAUCAUCAAUGCUUUCUAUCGAAAGAUUAGAGAUCAAAAGGGGAAAAUGACAAAUAAAAAUGGCAAGCAAUAGUAUAUAUUGGAGAAUAUGAGGAAGCCAUUUGGUGUAAACCUAAUUCGGCCUGACCUUGUCUUUCCAAAAGUGGCUGACCGUGACUGUUGAGCAUGCAUUGUAUGUCUGCUUUAGAGAUUCCCUAUGGCAAGAACAAAGGCCCUUGAGAUAAAGGUGCAACUUCCCUCCCCCUCCCAACGUUGGCAUUCCCUUAAGGAUUAAGCAUCUUUCCUCAGGCUAGGAACUGAUUGCUGUGCUCACCUAUGACCACCCAGCUCGAGACAAUAGGCUUGCCUCCUGCUACGCCCUCUGAGAGAGCAGACCCACUGCCUGCUGUGUCCAUCAAGCGCUGUGCCAAUAGGGCAAUCUUGUGACUAUUGUAGGAGGGACAUUUCAAUCAUAUGUGAAACAUCCUGUAUGGGGGUGUAUGACCACUCUGUAUACCUCACUUCUUUGGUGACCUUUCUCCCUUUAGGAAGCAAGGCCCUUGGCCAUGGUCCUCAGAUUUCAGCUCAGAAUAAACUCACCCAAAUUUUCAUUUAUAGAUUGGUUAUGGAUUAUUUUCGUGGACAGGGAGAAAAACAAUUCCCUUGAAACUCACACCCAUUCAGGCAGAGAGUUAAUCAUCGUUGAUCAUUUAGUGCAGACCUCAUCAAUCUUAAAUAGCUUUGACAGCUGGAAAAAUUAAGAUUGUGUCAGGACUCCUGUUGGUUUUGAAAAGAUUAUAAAUUCUCUUAUUUCAAAAGGGCCAGGUGAAAGCUUUUUAAAUCCUGUCAAGAAUUUUAGCCUGUAUCCUGAGAGCAAUGGGUAGCCAUUGACUGGUUUUAAAAAAGGAGUGAUGACCUGAUCUGAUCUUUUGAUCUAGAAACAACCCCCUGGUUGGAAGGGCAGCUGUAGGGUUAGUGGUUAAUGAGACGG